rnacentral:rRNA from 2 species
CACCUCUUCCCAUCCCGAACAGAGAAGUUAAGCCCAUUAGCGCCGAUGGUACUGCCGAAAGGUGGGAGAGUAGGUCGAUGCCGACC